rnacentral:rRNA from 1 species
AUGAACGCUGGCGGCGUGCCUCAUACAUGCAAGUCGAGCGAACGGACGAGAAGCUUGCUUCUCUGAUGUUAGCGGCGGACGGGUGAGUAACACGUGGAUAACCUACCUAUAAGACUGGGAUAACUUCGGGAAACCGGAGCUAAUACCGGCUGAUAUUUUGAACCGCAUGGUUCAAAAGUGAAAGACGGUCUUGCUGUCACUUAUAGAUGGAUCCGCGCUGCAUUAGCUAGUUGGUAAGGUAACGGCUUACCAAGGCAACGAUGCAUAGCCGACCUGAGAGGGUGAUCGGCCACACUGGAACUGAGACACGGUCCAGACUCCUACGGGAGGCAGCAGUAGGGAAUAUUCCGCAAUGGGCGAAAGCCUGACGGAGCAACGCCGCGUGAGUGAUGAAGGUCUUCGGAUCGUAAAACUCUGUUAUUAGGGAAGAACAUAUGUGUAAGUAACUGUGCACAUCUUGACGGUACCUAAUCAGAAAGCCACGGCUAACUACGUG